AAGAAUGAACUACAACCAAAUCAAUUCGUACAAGAUGGAACACUUCUGAAUUAGAGACAAGUAUUUAAGCAACUGCAAUGAUAACACUCCUUCAAAUUUCAGCCGGACAAAUCACCUCAAUCAUAUUUCAUAAACUUGCCCCACAGCAACAAGUAUAAAAAUGACCUCAUCUCAGUUAAGUCACAAUCAACAAUGAAUUCCAAAGGUUCAACUCAAAUCUAGCCGACUCAACCAAAAACAAACUAACUUAAAUCAAGCCUCUACUAUGCAAAACUAAAUUACUGCAGNGAUUCACAAAUACUGACACAUUUCAACAAAACAAAACAAAAAUCACAACACACGCAAACUCAUCAAUUCACAUGAGAAACAACGAUCCCCCCACACUAAAACUGAGCAAUGUCCUCAAUGCUCAAGUGCAAUGAAGUAGUGAAAAGGAGAAAAACGAAACUUCCCUGAAAAUCGAUGAGCCGGCAACGAUGUGAUUCAUUGAUCGCCCGCGGGUGGUGGAUGGGGAUAACGCUGGGUCCAAGAAUCCCAGCUAGUCUCCAACGCAGAUAUCCUCUGAUCCUGAGUAUCCAAACGCGCUAACAGGACUCUGCGAAAAUCACCAAUGACAUUGUCAAAAUGAGAUUGAAAAGCAGUCAUAGAUGCAUCAAAAUGGUGUUGUGUGAGUGGUGCAUCAGGGUAUGUGAGGGCUAGCUCGGGUGAAGCAGUGGGCUCCGCCUCAUUUUUCUCGUCCUCGUCGUCUGAAUGAGAAGAUGGACCAGCGCCUUGUGCAAUGCCUACAGCAACUUUAGCAUUCGAAUACUCGAUGACGCAGUGCCGUUUAUGAUGGGGAACAAUAGUGUGCCUAUCCUUGAUGAAAUUUCCCCUCAUAAGCUCUUUGUCAUCAAUGAACCGAAAAUCAGUUGAAUCUUGCCCCGGAACAAAUUCUGCGCCGCUUGGAAUAAGCUUGAAAUGAAUCGCUAAACAUGUUAUGAUUGGAGUCAAAGAAACAUGGAAAGCACUCCGACGCUUAAUAAGAUCAAGCUGAGACCAAAUGAAGUAUAUAGGACAAAUUUUCUCCUUCCGCUUUGCACUCGACAACAAGAAAACUUCAUUGGCAUUAACUUUAUUCCCUUGAUCUUUCCCUGAAACAUUGUAGGCAAGAAAUUUAUGCACAAAAGCUAGUGCCGGAUCCUUGAUGAAACUACUGGAUACACCCGACGCAUUCCAAUUAUCACACCCAGAUAAAUCAAGCCACGCCUCCUUCAACUUAAAGUUUUUCGGUCUAGAACGUGUCCCACUAAGUGGAAAACCAAACACGUCUUUCAUCAACUUCAAUGUUAUUUUGACCUCAUUCCCAAGCAUUCGACAAGUGAAAAAUUUCAUGUUCUCAUCGAACGUCAAAGUUGAGAAAAACUCAAAACACAAAGGCUCAAAGCCAACCAAAUCCUUCAUAUGAGCAUAUGUACUCAAUCCCAAAUAUCCCAAAUACUCAUCCAUUUUCUUAUCUACUCCCAAAAUUUCCAACAACCACCAAUCAAGAUAUCGUGGACAAGAGAUUUUUUUCUUUUUCAACUGCAAAUAACAAUUACCUUCGUCAUCAUUGAAGAUAGCAAAGGGUGCAUGGAAUUCUUCACGGAUAUCUUGCGGUGUAGCAUCUUCGUCCAUAGGUUCGGGUUGCUCAAUCGGAGCUCUAGAAGUAGUGCCGGGUCUUGUCUUCGUUCGUCCCAUGACUGAGCUAAUGAUGGACAAAUAGGAAUGGUGGCUACAAGAGUGAAAAACACUUCAAGUGUUAGUGUUGGAUUGCUGACGGCGGCUGGAUUGAAGCCAAAACAGGAGCAGCAGAUCGGAAGUGCAAACGGCGAGCAAAGAGGCCGGCGGCGAGAUGGGAGAGCGCGGUCAGUUCAGGGAGCUCCGGAGAUGGAAAUUGGAACACUAGCGGGCGGACGGCGCUGAGGACGCAAGGAGAGACGGAAGGUGACGUCUGGUGGUGAGGAACUGACGGUGGCUUGAGGUAGGCGGUGGCGACUGGAGAAUUCAAGGCUGCGCUUUUUGCGACCGACUGAUUCACGCAGAGACCGGCACUGCGGUAGUGGAAAAGGAGACCGCGCUGAGCAGCGGCGAACGGCGGCUCUGUGGUCGACGGCGCGCGGGUUCUGGAUGGGAGAGAUGGACGACGGUGGAGAGGCUGUGAAUUGUGAGGUGCUGAUGACGCGAGGUGACGCGGUGCGGCUGCUGAGUCGCGCAGAGGUCGACGGCGCGCGGAUUCCGGCAGUGAAGAUGGCCGGUGCUGGUCGAAAAAUGAUGGUGAAAGUGGCUGGAGAUGA
rnacentral:lncRNA from 1 species